UCCUGGUGGCGAGUGGCGAACGGGUGAGUAAUACAUCGGAACGUGUCCUGUAGUGGGGGAUAGCCCGGCGAAAGCCGGAUUAAUACCGCAUACGCUCUACGGAGGAAAGGGGGGGAUCUUAGGACCUCUCGCUACAGGGGCGGCCGAUGGCAGAUUAGCUAGUUGGUGGGGUAAAGGCCUACCAAGGCGACGAUCUGUAGCUGGUCUGAGAGGACGACCAGCCACACUGGGACUGAGACACGGCCCAGACUCCUACGGGAGGCAGCAGUGGGGAAUUUUGGACAAUGGGGGCAACCCUGAUCCAGCAAUGCCGCGUGUGUGAAGAAGGCCUUCGGGUUGUAAAGCACUUUUGUCCGGAAAGAAAUCUUCUGCCCUAAUACGGCGGGAGGAUGACGGUACCGGAAGAAUAAGCACCGGCUAACUACGUGCCAGCAGCCGCGGUAAUACGUAGGGUGCAAGCGUUAAUCGGAAUUACUGGGCGUAAAGCGUGCGCAGGCGGUCCGCUAAGACAGAUGUGAAAUCCCCGGGCUUAACCUGGGAACUGCAUUUGUGACUGGCGGGCUAGAGUAUGGCAGAGGGGGGUAGAAUUCCACGUGUAGCAGUGAAAUGCGUAGAGAUGUGGAGGAAUACCGAUGGCGAAGGCAGCCCCCUGGGCCAAUACUGACGCUCAUGCACGAAAGCGUGGGGAGCAAACAGGAUUAGAUACCCUGGUAGUCCACGCCCUAAACGAUGUCAACUAGUUGUCGGGUCUUCAUUGACUUGGUAACGAAGCUAACGCGUGAAGUUGACCGCCUGGGGAGUACGGUCGCAAGAUUAAAACUCAANGGAAUUGACGGGGACCCGCACAAGCGGUGGAUGAUGUGGAUUAAUUCGAUGCAACGCGAAAANCCUUACCUACCCUUGACAUGGCCGGAACCCUGCUGAAAGGUGGGGGUGCUCGAAAGANAACCGGUACACAGGUGCUGCAUGGCUGUCGUCAGCUCGNGUCGUGAGAUGUUGGGUUAAGUCCCGCAACGAGCGCAACCCUUGUCCCUAGUUGCUACGCAAGANCACUCUAGGGANACUGCCGGUGACAAACCGGAGNAAGGNGGGGAUGACGUCAAGUCCUCNUGGCCCUUAUGGGUA
rnacentral:rRNA from 1 species